GAAAUGCGAUAAGUAAUGUGAAUUGCAGAAUUCAGUGAAUCAUCUAAUCUUUGAACGCACCUUGCGCUCCUUGGUAUUCCUUGGAGCAUGCCUGUUUGAGUAUCAUGAAAUCUUCAAAGUAAAUCUUUUGUUAACUCAAUUGGUUUCUACUUUGGUAUUGUAGGUCUUUGCAGCUUCACACCUGCUCCUCUUUGUUCAUUAGCUGGAUCUCAGUGUUAUGCUUGGUUCCACUCGGCGUGAUAAGUUAUCUAUCGCUGAGGACACUGUAAAAGGUGGCCAAGGUAAAUGCAGAUGAACCGCUUCUAAUAGUCCAUUGACUUGGACAAUACUUUUAUGAUCUGAUCUCAAAUCAGGUAGGACUACCCGCUGAACUUAAGC
rnacentral:misc_RNA from 1 species